rnacentral:rRNA from 1 species
UGGGGAAUUUUCCGCAAUGGGCGAAAGCCUGACCGGAGCAAUACCGCGUGAGGGAAGAAGGUCUUUGGAUCGUAAACCUCUUUUCUCAGGGAAGAAGUUCUGACGGUACCUGAGGAAUAAGCCUCGGCUAACUCCGUGCCAGCAGCCGCGGUAAUACGGAGGAGGCAAGCGUUAUCCGGAAUUAUUGGGCGUAAAGCGUUCGCAGGUGGCUCGUCAAGUCUGCUGUCAAAGACCGGAGCUUAACUCCGGGUAGGCGGUGGAAACUGAAGAGCUAGAGUGCGGUAGGGGUAGAGGGAAUUCCCAGUGUAGCGGUGAAAUGCGUAGAGAUUGGGAAGAACACCGGUGGCGAAAGCGCUCUACUAGGCCGCAACUGACACUCAGGGACGGAAAAAAGCUAAGGGGAGCGAAUGGGAUUAGAUACCCCAGUAGU